rnacentral:misc_RNA from 1 species
GUGAAUCAUCGAAUCUUUGAACGCAUAUUGCACUCUCUGGUAUUCCGGAGAGUAUGCCUAUUUGAGGGUCAGUUGAAAUAAUAUAAAUUCCAAGAUUUCUCGGUGUUUAAAAUGGGUUGGCCAUUUUUUGUGGUUGUCUAAAGUCCAAGACAAGCUCAUUUUCUUGGUUUUCGUGAUACUUUCAGUUACCUCGUGUCUUAACCAGGAAUCAUCGGGG